rnacentral:sRNA from 1 species
UGAAGAGUGUGGACAGCUCAGUCCCAUGG